AGAGGGGCAGUGAUACUACUUCCCCCAGCUUGUUGGGAGGAUUAAAUGAGAGGAUGCCUGUGGGCCCAGGGAGCGGCUGCUGUGGCUUAUAGACCUGAUGGAGGUCAUCAGGUUUCCUGAGCUCUGCAGUGAGAAUCCUGUCCAUUCAAAUCCCAGCU